GACAGAGGGUGCGAACGUUGUUCGGAAUUACUGGGCGUAAAGCGCGUGUAGGCGGCAGCGCAAGUCGGGCGUGAAAUCCCACGGCUCAACCGUGGAAGUGCACUCGAAACUGCGCAGCUAGAGUCCUGGAGAGGAAGGUGGAAUGCUUGGUGUAGAGGUGAAAUUCGUAGAUAUCGUAAGGAAGACCAGUGGCGAAGGCGGGUCUCUGGACAGUUCCUGACGCUGAGGCACGAAGGUCAGGGGAGCAAACGGG
rnacentral:rRNA from 1 species